AGAAUCAACGCUGGCGGCGUGCCUAACACAUGCAAGUCGAACGAGAAAGUGGAGCAAUCCAUGAGUAAAGUGGCGCACGGGUGAGUAACACGUGACUAACCUACCCUUGAGUGGGGGAUAACCUAGAGAAAUCUGGGCUAAUACCGCAUAAUACCUUCGGGUCAAAGGAGCAAUUCGCUUAAGGAGGGGGUCGCGGCCGAUUAGUUAGUUGGCGGGGUAAUGGCCCACCAAGACUAUGAUCGGUAUCCGGCCUGAGAGGGCGCGACGGAACGACGACUAGGAACGUGAAACACGGUCCAGACUCCUACGGGAGGCAGCAGUGGGAAUUUGCGCAAUGGGGGAAACCCUGACGCAGCAACGCCGCGUGGAGGAUGAAGUCCCUUGGGACGUAAACUCCUUUCGAUCGGGACGAUAAUGACGGUACCGAGAGAAGAAGCCCCGGCUAACUUCGUGCCAGCAGCCGC
rnacentral:rRNA from 1 species